rnacentral:rRNA from 1 species
AUACGUAGGGGGCGAGCGUUGUCCGGAAUGAUUGGGCGUAAAGGGCGCGUAGGCGGCCCGGUAAGUCUGGAGUGAAAGUCCUGUUUUUAAGAUGGGAAUUGCUUUGGAUACUGUCGGGCUUGAGUGCAGGAGAGGUAAGUGGAAUUCCCAGUGUAGCGGUGAAAUGCGUAGAGAUUGGGAGGAACACCAGUGGCGAAGGCGGGUAACUGGACUGCAACUGACGCUGAGGCGCGAAAGUGUGGGGAGUAAACAGGAUUAGAUACCCUGGUAGUCCACACUGUAAACGAUGAAUGCUAGGUGUAAGAGGUAUCGACCCCUUUUGUGCCGGAGUUAACACAAUAAGCAUUCCGCCUGGGGAGUACGGCCGCAAGGUUGAAACUCAAAGGAAUUGACGGGG